rnacentral:lncRNA from 1 species
CAGACUUCCUGCUUUGCAUGUGGCCUGUUAAUAUCGGAGGGGAACAUCCGAGUGGAGGUCUCCUCCUUCCUCGCCCUGGCCUUGCCCUCCUGGGACGUUUUUGGGUAGUUUCCCAGUGUCACACUCACAGACGUGGAGCAGUUGGUCUGUUUAAAACAGAUAACGACUUGAGUUUCUUCCUGAAGAGAACGGCCAAGGUCCCGUCUUCGUCUGCCCUCUGGUGGCUGCGGUUCGGUACAGAAAGUUCAACAGAAGAGCUCACUUGAAGAAAAGCAGAGGCCCAGUUUGUCAGCACAUGGCAAAGCUCUGCCGUGCUAAUUAAUACUGCCGUUGCGGUCGAACACACGGAAUGCUUCCGUAAUUUCUUCUUCACGGGCUGGUUCUCACGCCGUCACUGUCAGAAGUUCCCGGGAGGCAGCGGUGCUUUGCCGUCAGCAUCUGCUGCACUAACCAUGUCCUGGAACCGCUUCUGUGGGAUUCUGCCCCAUACACUCUAUGUUAACUAACUUGAACUUAAAUGAAAAAAACAAAAACAAAAAUGAAAAACCAAAGCAAUGUUGGAGCAAUUCCUAAAACUCCUAGCAAAAAUCUGU